ensembl:miRNA
CCAAGUCUCAGUUCAUGUAAACAUCCUACACUCAGCUGUUACACAGAGACUGGCUGGGAGGUGGAUGUUUACGUCAGCUGACUUGGA